rnacentral:rRNA from 1 species
GGUGGAUUAGUGGCGAACGGGUGAGUAACACGUGAGUAACCUGCCCUUAACUCUGGGAUAAGCCUGGGAAACUGGGUCUAAUACCGGAUAGGAGCGCCUACCGCAUGGUGGGUGUUGGAAAGAUUUAUCGGUUUUGGAUGGACUCGCGGCCUAUCAGCUUGUUGGUGAGGUAAUGGCUCACCAAGGCGACGACGGGUAGCCGGCCUGAGAGGGUGACCGGCCACACUGGGACUGAGACACGGCCCAGACUCCUACGGGAGGCAGCAGUGGGGAAUAUUGCACAAUGGGCGCAAGCCUGAUGCAGCGACGCCGCGUGAGGGAUGACGGCCUUCGGGUUGUAAACCUCUUUCAGUAGGGAAGAAGCGAAAGUGACGGUACCUGCAGAAGAAGCACCGGCUAACUACGUGCCAGCAGCCGCGGUAAUACGUAGGGUGCGAGCGUUAUCCGGAAUUAUUGGGCGUAAAGAGCUCGUAGGCGGUUUGUCGCGUCUGUCGUGAAAGUCCGGGGCUUAACCCCGGAUCUGCGGUGGGUACGGGCAGACUAGAGUGCAGUAGGGAGACUGGAAUUCCUGGUGUAGCGGUGGAAUGCGCAGAUAUCAGGAGGAACACCGAUGGCGAAGGCAGGUCUCUGGGCUGUAACUGACGCUGAGGAGCGAAAGCAUGGGGAGCGAACAGGAUUAGAUACCCUGGUAGUCCAUGCCGUAAACGUUGGGCACUAGGUGUGGGGACCAUUCCACGGUUUCCGCGCCGCAGCUAACGCAUUAAGUGCCCCGCCUGGGGAGUACGGCCGCAAGGCUAAAACUCAAAGGAAUUGACGGGGGCCCGCACAAGCGGCGGAGCAUGCGGAUUAAUUCGAUGCAACGCGAAGAACCUUACCAAGGCUUGACAUGUUCUCGAUCGCCGUAGAGAUACGGUUUCCCCUUUGGGGCGGGUUCACAGGUGGUGCAUGGUUGUCGUCAGCUCGUGUCGUGAGAUGUUGGGUUAAGUCCCGCAACGAGCGCAACCCUCGUUCCAUGUUGCCAGCACGUAAUGGUGGGGACUCAUGGGAGACUGCCGGGGUCAACUCGGAGGAAGGUGAGGACGACGUCAAAUCAUCAUGCCCCUUAUGUCUUGCGCUUCACGCAUGCUACAAUGGCCGGUACAAUGGGUUGCGAUACUGUGAGGUGGAGCUAAUCCCAAAAAGCCGGUCUCAGUUCGGAUUGGGGUCUGCAACUCGACCCCAUGAAGUC